CAAAAAAAAGUAACCUUUAUUUGAUGAAUAAAUAUGUGAACAAAUAAACAGUGAUUCUGCAAGAGGUGGAUUCGAAAUACAUGGAACUAAAAACUCAAACACUUAAUCAGUUAAAUGGUCUUUGUGAUAAAUAUUACAUGAAAACAUCUGCAAUCUUGUUUUGCUUGGGAUCAUAAUAGCAGACGUAGAAACGUCGAGGAGAUUUCAAAUUCAAUGUCGUGGGCAUGAUCACAAUCUCACCAUUAGGAGUGACACCAGCGAUGCAAAGUCUAUCUCCUAGACUUUUUAAUAUAGAACAAGGCAGUGACAACACAAUCUUAGACCAUUCUUGUAAUUUCUUGCUAUGAUGAUGAUGAUGAUCUUCCAUAAUCCACAUCUCUGCACAAUCGUCGUCGUUGGUGUAACUUAUGCAUCCUAAUUUCCCUUUGUAAUUUACCAAAGUCAGUUCCCACAACUGAUUCAUCUGCAGAGUUAUGGGCAUCUGGAUACGAUCAAAUCUUUGGCAGCUAAUGUCGAACCACGCUAGUUCAUUAUAUUGAUCAUCCAUACUCCCAUGUAGUAGAUUUUGAAACAUUGGCUUAGGGCCAAUUUUUUUAACAUUUUAAAAAGCCUAUUUAUUUUUACCAAAAGAUCAAACAUAUCAUGAUUUGAAAGGUAUAUAUAUACUUGUAAAGCUUAAAAAUAGAUACUGUUUGCAUAUUUCAACAUAGUUUCUGUGAUUUUAUCAUAUAAAAAAUAGUUAAAAACAAAAUUAAAAUUAGUAAAAGAUGUUAAAUCUCUACAAAAUGGUGUUUUUUAAUAUUUUCUCAUAUUUUUUUUUGUUUUUCUGAAAAAUUGUUUAGGGCUUCAGUUAAUGUGGGCAAGGGUUCUGCUUGGAUGUCAAGGUUUCUCCACUGCUGCUUUUUUGGACCUCCCAAUAACGUGAAAACAUGUUUUUCAACCGGAUCAUACCCGAAAAAAUCAUCACAGGAUUUGCUGUAUUUAUCGCAAAAUAUCUCCGCUACUCCCGGAUACACCGUGGCAGGGUCUUGAAUAUCACCCGAAACACAGAUAAUAAGUGCACGAAUGUAUUGAUACUCAAAAUCGCAACUUAACCUACGAGUUAAUGCGGAUAUGAAUUUGUUGUAAUUAGUGAUCAUAGGAUAAGUAGAGGACGAGAAUGAUGAAGAUUGGUGCAACCAAUGGGGGAAGAUUACGAGUAGAAGCGGCUGAGCAAAAGAAGACCGAGUCUCGAGAUGACCAUUGCUUCGAUACGCACUGGAACCUCACAAGUGACUUCACCGGAAGUCUCGAGAGUAUAUCCACCUUUAGAUCCAAAGGGAUAUGGAUACCGUUUGGCUUUUUUUCGAUCUCGCUGUGAUGUUGUCGUUUUGGAGAUCGUGAGGUCUUCUUCUCUUGCAUUACUCUCUUCAUGGUGUCUGUUUUGUGUUUUGUGGAAUAUUUUUUUGAUCAAGCAUAUCGUGUGGAUCUUAUAAACGAGGAAAACAAUCUCUUUAUAUAAUGAUGUUUCAAACGAUUAGAUUCGUGUUUAAUAAUUUUUUUGACAUAUAAUAUUAUUAUUAAGAGAGUUUUUUAUAAUUCUUUCCUAAUUUUAAAAGGUAAAGUUAUUAAACAAAAAGGGAAAAAUAAAAAAUUUAAAUUUAUCCUUAAAGCCAAAAUUAAUAAAAAGGUUAAAAUUCUAUAUUCAUCAUAAAAAGUUAAUAAAAAUCGUUUCCAAAUUUUAAAUAGUAAAGAUACUAAAAAAAAAAGAUAAUUAUCUCUAAGAGUAAUAUUUAUCACUUUGUAUAGUUGUCUUGAAGAAAUUAACAGUUCUUAGUCAUUAAAAUGUUUAAUAAGCUUCCUUGAAGACAAAAAAAAAGGUCAAUUAAAAAGUUAACCCAAACAAAAUCACCUUCAGAAACACAAGUAAUUAAACAACUAAUCUUUCUCUAUGCAUGCAUGUGGCGUCCAAAUAAGCCGUUAAAAAACCAAAAAAUUAAACUGAGUUUAAAUAAGCUAUAUGUAAAUUUUUUAAGUAUCAUAAAGAAAGUUAUAAGAAAAGCCACGCAUUUGCAUGGGUACUCAUCGAUCUAGUUGAGAACAAUAGUACUAGUUAGUGUAUAUGUGUAUUUAUCAAUUAUGUUGGAGAAAAGAGAGAGAGAGAAGGUGUGAAUUAAAGCGAGUGAAGAGCCGGGUGUUUCUCAUGCAUGGCGUACGAGCGGAGUCAACGGUUUCAUGGCUCAAAUGUUAAACACGUGUCACGCAUUUGUUACUCCACCCAGAUUCUGCUGAUUCAGAGUCUCCCUAUUAAAAUCCAAAUGUUCUUUUUGUUGAUAAACAGAAACCAAAAAUAAUCCCUACACCAACAAAACCAAAAAAAAAAAAUUAACAAAAACAAGAACCCAGAAACCAUACAUAAAAAAAAUAUAACUGUUACAUCAAACAAACAAAACUGAUCACAAAUCAGAAACAAAAGACACUAGAGAAAAAUAUAUAAAAAGAAAAUCGAACCAUCGAGAAAGGAGAUUCGAGUUAUUCCUAAUACUUUUUGUUUUUUUCAUUCUCAAUUUUCAUUCUCUAAAAAUAUACUUAAUUAGACCUUCGAGGAAAUCUGUAAAAGACAAGAAUUCUACGAGAUUCAAAGCAAAAUGACGGACGCCCACACUGCCAGGACGAUCGUCGGAAUCAUCGGUAAUUCAACAAAACCUUGUUAAUUAAUCAAUGGGAUUUUUGUAUUUAAGCAUUAUUAAAUGUCUUGAUUUCUUUUUGGUUAUAUGUUCAGGAAACGUGAUAUCUUUCGGCUUGUUCUGCGCUCCAAUGUAAGACACAUACUAUUAGAUCUUUUUGUUGUUGUUUCAUAUGUUGCAGUUAAAUUAAUGCAUGGGAUGAUAUGUAUAUAUAUGUGUGGAUAUAAAUGAUUAUGCAGACCAACGAUGCUGAAGAUAUGGAAGAUGAAAUCGGUGUCGGAAUUUAAGCCAGAUCCGUACGUAGCUACGGUUUUAAACUGCAUGAUGUGGACUUUCUACGGAAUGCCUUUCGUCCAACCCGACAGUCUCCUCGUAAUCACCAUUAAUGGAACUGGUCUUUUCUUGGAACUCGUUUACGUCUCCAUCUUCUUCAUCUUCGCUACCUCGUCUGUUCGCGUAAGCUUUUUUAAUCCCCUCUCCCCAUAGUGAAUUAUUAGCACGCAUGCACGAUAAUCACGAUCGAUAUAAUGCGUUAUUCUUUUCUUUGUAGCCAUCCAGUUUCAUGUUAAUUAGUCUCAACUCCCGUCAUCUUUGUACUCUAAUCGUGAUCUCUUGAAAACGUGACUCUCCCAAUUUGGUUUGUAGUAUAAAGUUUUUGACUUGUAUAACUUUUGCAUAUAAUAGAAGAUCUCUAGGUAGAUUUGAUCAGAUGGUUUACUUUUACUUCAUGAUAUGCGUAUUAAAUUUGAUGAUUGUUAUACAGAGAAAGAUCACGAUAGCUAUGGUGAUCGAGAUGAUAUUCAUGGCGGUGGUGAUCUUCUGCACAUUGUAUUUUUUGCAUACAACAAAACAGAGAUCUAUGCUUAUUGGGAUCUUGUGCAUUAUUUUCAAUGUUAUCAUGUAUGCUGCUCCUUUAACCGUCAUGGUAUGCUCUAUUCUCUUCCUCAUUUCUCCUUAUUAUUAAUUAACUUGGUAUAUAUCCAACGUGCGAAUGGUUUAACUUGACCAGAAUAAGCCUUAUCAGAUUUGAAUUUCAAUCAUCACAUCGCUAAAAACUAGCUAGCAGCCUAGCAUGCAUGAUUUAUAUAUAUGAGUCAAUUGAAUUUAUUUCGAAAUCUUGUAACUGGUUUCAUCAUGAACAAACCUCGAGACUAAUCACGGAUAUGCAAGAAUGGAUAUUUUUUAUUGCAUAUUUUUUUUUAUUUCUCUCAUUGUUGUCUUGUGAACUAACAUUUAAUGGGUUUCAUUUAUGUGGAACAGAAACUUGUGAUAAAGACAAAGAGCGUGAAGUACAUGCCGUUCUUCCUGUCACUAGCCAACUUCAUGAACGGCGUCGUUUGGGUCGUUUAUGCAUGUCUUAAAUUCGACCCCUAUAUUUUGGUAAACUUCAAUCAUCACCCCAUAAUUCUCAACUCAAUCAAGAUACAUAUUAGUAUAUUUUACAAAACCCUAAUAUAUUGAGUUAUUUCAUGAAAACAGAUUCCAAAUGGUCUUGGAUCCCUAUCAGGAAUAAUCCAACUUAUAUUAUACGUAACUUACUAUAAAACAACUAACUGGAACGAUGAAGAUGACGAUAAAGAAAAGCGCUAUUCUAAUGCUGAGGUCGAGCUUGGCCGAGCUUGACAGUUGCAGCUAUGGCUUAUGGGUCGCACUUUUUUCUUCCUUUUAUUUUUGUUUUACAAAAGUAUCAUCAUCGUCGACUGGUAAUUACCAGCUUCAUCGUUAGGUUAAGAUAGAUUCAGAAGAGAUGUCUAUGUGAAGAAGAAGAAAAAAUCUAAGUUAUAAAGUUUUCUUGAGUAGAAAGAAAGAGGUUUCACAUAUUUGUUGAAAUGAUUAUAACUUUCGAAAGUUGAAUCUAUGUAAUUUGUUACACUUAUAGUUUUGAUCAAAAUCUUAUUAGAUUAUUCUAUAACAUUUUUUUGGAAUAAGAAAAAAAAAAACAAAAUCGUCCAUUAGAGCAUCUAUAAUGGUGAACUUUUUAUGGAGUUUACCUCAAAAUUUUUAUUAAUUAAAUUUUGAGAAGAGAGAGAAUGUAAAAGAAGAGAGAAAAUCGAAGAAAAGAAGAAGAGAAGAGAGAGAAAGAGAGAGAAAGAGAAAGAGAGAGAAAGAGAAAGAAGAUGGAAGAGCAAAAAGCUCAGCCAAUAAAAUUAUGCCACGUCGCGUGAACCUCUUCUUAAAAUCGAUUCUAAAAACUCUAAAUUAAGACACAUUUUAUAAAUAUUGAGUUUUAUUCACUUAUUUUUAAUGACAAAAUCCAUGAACUUUUGAUGUUCUUAAAACCUCCAUUACAAAUGGUCUUACUAUUGAUGUUAAGAACAGAGGUUCUCUUGUUUUAGGUUUGUUUGCUUCUGGCAAGAGUUAAAAAAUAUAAACCUGCUGCAAUCUAAGAUCAUGUUUAUCGCCAGUUUCUAAUUGGGUUUCUGGGGCAUUAAUGGCCCAAAAGAAAAUCAAAAAUGGUUUUUAUUAGGAGGAUCGAUCCCUAAUUAGGGACCAUAAAGGAUCGAUCCUUGAGCAUACGUGGCAAGAUUUGGUUGGUCAACGAAAUUAUGGGGAGAGAGAAUUUUUUUUUCGACCAAAAAAUCCAUCGUCGACCAAAUCGCCUUCUUCACCCAAAAUCGCCUUCUCCGUUGUUAUGCCUGAAUCUGUGUCUUUUCUGAUCUAAGGGAUGCCUGCCGGAGCCAAGAGAACUCUCCGACGACCUUCAGAUAAGUGAAUCCUUCUCUCUAUCAUGUCUUGUCGAUUUCUUUGGUUAUCUCCUUCUCCGUGUUUUUUUUUGUUAAUUAAGAAUUUGUGGCAUGAAAUCGAUCGAAUUUGUUGUCUGUAUAAUAUCUCGUUGAUUGGCUGUGGUGCCCCCAAACUCAACCCUCUAUUACGAGAUUGACCUUGUGGCUUUCGACAAAGUUAGUAAACAGUUUUGGUUGUUUACGCCCAUUAACAAUUCAGCGAUUAAAGAAAUAUUAGGUGUCCAACACUUGCUUCUCACUUGAGCUUUUAGGAAAAAGAAUCAUGGGACAUGAACACGGAGGAGAAGAUUGAAGCUGCUGGUAAGAAGAAGGAAGAAGGAAACUCCAAGUUCAAAGCAGGCAAGUAAUUAAAAGUGUUGAAGGUGGUGUGUAAUCUAAAUGACGCAGCCUGCAAACUGAAGCUGAAAGAGUACAAGCAGGCUGAGAAACUAUGCACAAAGGUAACUAAUUUGUGGCUAAGACUACAUAUCUUUUAAUGUGGGUUUAAAAGCUUGGAUGAACAAGAAUGAUGGUAAUAAUGGUGGUUUCGAUGUUUUAGAUAUUAGAGCUUGAAAGCACCAAUGUGAAGGCUUUAUACAGGAGAGGCUAGCAUACAUGGAGCUAGCUGAUUUGGACUUGGCUGAGUUUGUUAUAUAAGAGGAGAUUGUCAAGUUUAAUUCAAAUGAUACGGAGUUGAAGCUGGAGCAGAGACGGUUGAAGGAGAAAAUGAAGAAGUUUAACAAACAGGAGGCCAAAUUUUACGGGAACAUAUUUGUGAAACUAACAGUAAGUGUAACUCUAAGUCCAUGGUUGAUCUUACUCAUCUAAUUAUGAACCAAAAACUUAUCUUUUGUUUUUGAGGUAAUGUGCAUAAAUGAUGCAGCAUCAUCGUAAACAUCAUGCUCGGAGAAGAAGAAUGGUUUAUUGGCUUUUGAUAUUUUGGUCUUUUUCUAUUUCUUUUCCUUAGUUUUGAUUGACUUAAAUGUUGUUAGAUUUCUACCAAUACACCUGAAAAAUUAAGCAGUUUCUUAAUGAGUUUCUCAUUCAAAUUUUAAUAUUAAAUUAAUUAUGAGAAACCAACAUUAGUUUCUACCAAUAAACAUGCUCUUAAUAAGUGAGGAGGGUAAGAUGGUCAUUUACUCCAGAAUCUAGUAACAGAGUAACAGUUGAGAAAACGUAUUUCACAGUUGAGAAACUUACCGGUUCACCCGAUUUGAAUUUAGAAACGAACCAAUGAUCUAAACCGGAAUGUGUGAUUACAAUUGUGUGGUUUGAGAGUGCUUAAAACACGGAGGACCAGAAAUCCCGUUUGAGAUGACGACGAUCGAAUUAUGUUAUCAUCAUCGCCGGCGGCCACCACCGCGCUUCCUCCUCCGCCGCCUGAAACCUACCAAAUUUCUCUGAAUUUACUUUCCUCGCCGCAGAUUACUCGCCGACGCCUUUUCAAGACUCUCUCACUAUGUCUCGCCGCACAACCAGUCUCCGUCUCCACCGCCGCACCAGCCCACGCACGCGGCCUCUUUCAAAUGCCGCCUCUCCGGCUUUCUAAUCGGUAUCCCCUCUUCGGAACCCUAAACUCCUAUUUUGAAUUCUGAUAUCUACUUAGACUUUAGUAGACUUUUGGAAUGCUCUUGCUAAAACUGUCUUUGUAUUGGUGAGAUUCCAAAAUUCUUCACACGGAACAGUUCAAUAGUGGUUCCAUGACACUACACUUGCUUGAUUCCGAGGUUGGAGCUGAUUGUACAAAGUGUUUUUCUUGAAAAAAGUUAUUACCUUGUGAGAGCUGGGGAAUCGGAUUACGAAAGCUUGGGGAUAAUCAACACAAACCCGGUGGCCAAAACAUCGGUAGAUAGUGGAUUAUCAGAGAAAGGUAAGAAGCAGACGGUGAGAGCUGCGUUACAGUUAAAGGCAAUGGGAGCUUGUGACCGAAACUGUUGGCUAUGGCCUUCCAUUACACAGAGAGCUUAUCAGGCUGCUGAAAUCAUCGCUUCCAUCAAUGGAAUUAGUCGCAGGUAAUCCCCAAUACUGAGAUAACAUUACUGUGAAAAACCGAAUCUUUGUGAUGAUGGUAUGUGUGUUUCUUUUUGCAGCUAUAUAGUUCCGGAAUAUAGCUUCCUUGAUGCUCGUGGUUUAGGAGCCUACGAAGGCAAGAAACUAGAUUCCUUAUCAGAAGUAAGAUUUCACAUGUUGAAAUGAGGCGCUAUUAGAGAACUCGGGUUGUAAGUAUAUAUAAUGUGGUUACUAUGAUUUGUUGCAGGUGUAUGCAUUAGACUCAGUAUCGAUGAAGACAAAACCUCCUCCUAUAAGCGACGGUACGCCUAACGAGAGUGUGUCAGAUGUAUUCGUGCGUGUGACGCAGCUCAUGUCCAUUCUCGAGACUCAAUACUCAGAGGACACAGUGGUCAUUGUUUCGCCUGAUUCAGACAACUUAUCUGUGUUGCAAGCUGGUGUUCAGGGCCUGGAUCUUCGAAGGCACUCGGAAUUGUAUUUUGGACCAGGAGAAGUGAGAUUGUUAGACGCAGACAGCAUCCCUGUGUAUAAGCAACCUGCCUCUGCUGUAUAUAAAUGUACAAACCCACCAAACUGUGACUAGUUUCAUCAUUUCUAUAGUUUAUACUAUAUAUAUACAAUCAAAUACAAUUUCGAUCUAAUCAAUAUUAUCCCUGUUUAGACUGUUUGGAUCUUCUAGUUUUUUUUUUUCUAUAUCUUUAUGGCUCUACACAAUAUAUAACUCAUUGUUGACUUAUUGAAAUUUGGAACAGAGAGAUUGGUUCAUAGGAAAAUGGCGUUUAUGUAAUUCAUUCUAAGUUGUAGUUUUCUUUUGUCCUCGUUUGAUAACUAAGGACUCCUCUAUCUAAUGUGUGUGUGUGUCGAAGACCAAACAGCAGAAGAGUAACUUAACUUAUUGGAUUCACUGAUGUAACAUAAGAGAGAAGGACGCAUGAUAACAAUUUGAAAAAAAAAGGACGAUGCGAGAGUUCAGAGAGUGACAGAAACUGAAUGCAAAACCUUGUAGCGGCGAUGUAAGAAAGGUUCAACGGUCAUGACAGGAUGAGACCACUCAAUGUAGCCCCAAAUCUCGGCUCCUUGGCGUCUCUCCAAGGAAAUCUCUGCACACCAAAUCUCAAAACGAUCCCCCUCGAUGACAUCCCAAAAGAUCACAAGGUUAGAACUAAAUUUGCAGAGUCUUGCUCCAGGAAGUAAAUCUGCCAGCUUCUUGUAGACACCCGAAGGGGACUUACGGCACGAAAACUUCCACAUGCCUUCGUUCCUGCGAUCAAAGUGGACCAGUCUGGAGCUAGAGAGACUCUCCACGAGAGAUCCCAAACCCUUUACCCACUUCCAAUCCAUCCUCUCUUCGCUCAGGUUCAGAGCACUCCAACUGAGCUUGCUCACACCAACGCAACUUCCCAAACCGAUCACAAGAGUAGAUAACGUUAUCAAUCACACACCAAUCCCUUUUGUUUCCUCGCAAGUCACUAUGAUUCCCUCUUCCCCAUUUACUUUCACUCGGCGAGUAGUACAAGCUUUCUUCCACAACAUCCACUGCAUAAAUCUUUCCCUCCUUGAGGACCACACUGUGACGGAGCCGGACAAGUCUUCCUUUUUUUAUGCGGUGACUCCUCGGCGGCUGAAUUCGACAUCGCACUCUUUCUGAGAGACACCGCGAGAAUUUUUCUUUUUAUAGGGUACUAAAUUAGCGGGGUUAUGAUUAAUUUUUUUUUUUUAAUUUUUUUCAGUAAAAGAUGUUAAAUUUUUAAGUUUUCCUUUUUCAUUCAUCGAAUUUAAAUUUCCGUUUUAUUAACGCUGGCUUUUAAUUAUAUUUUUUUCCCUCGUUUUGUUUAGUUAUUUUACCUUUUUCCGGAUUAUAAAUCAAUCAUAAACUUAUCGUUUUACUGUUAAUAUUUCUGUUUAGUUAUUAUCAUGGCGAUGAAAGGUGUUGAUUUGAAGUGGUUAGUUUUAUUCUUUUGAACAAGAUUUUAUUAAGUGGUUAGUUCCUAAUUAGUAUUCUGCUUCUGUGUUUGACCUUAACUGAAGCAGAUUCCAAUAAUUUUGUAUUUCUCCAGUUUUAUAACUUUGGUGUAUCUGAAAUUUUGUGGGUGAAUUUUUAAAUGCCUAGCAGGUACGAUGGGUUCUUCUUGUCGAUGCGCGCGACUAGUCUGUAUCCUUUACAGCUCAGCUUGAUGGAUUCUUCUAAUUGUAAUUCUAUGCCUUUAUUCUUCUGUUUUCUAUUCUGAUUCUUGAAAAUUCGAUCUCGUUUUUGGGUAAAAAAAAUAAAAAAUAAGAAGGAUAUUGGGUUUUUACAUUUUUGUAAAAAACAAGAAUUGUCCAUGUGACAUGUCUUAGACCAUAUAUCCACAUUAGUCUUAAGUUAUAAACAUGGACCAUAUAUGUAUAGACCAUAAACAUGAAUCUUAUGUUAUAAACGAAACACCUCUUGGAACUACAAUAUAUGGGAAUUACUUCUUGUAUUUACUUUGGAUACUGUGAAAUUAUAAAAGUUUCACAAGCUUUCAUCUGAUUUAAACUGAUCAAGAACGGCUUUUGUGAUCGAUUAUUCGAAACAAAAAGAAAUUACUGUAAGAAGAAAAAAGAAAGUGUUGUGACAAUGGAUUUUGAAAGAUUCAUAUGGUAAAGACAGAAAUAAAAAAGAUAAAUAAAUAGGAGUGGGUGGGUUGCUUUGUGCUUUAAACAAAGAACAAAAGGCAAAACAAUGCUUUUGAUAUUUUACUUUUUUUUUUGUUAUUUAUUGAUUUUUAUUUAAAGAGAGAAGACAUUUGAUUCAAAAGGGAAUGCUAAAAAAACUACAAAAGAUUUGACAAGAUUGAAAACAAAAACAUUUGAUAGAGAUCAUUAGAUCAAUGAUCGAUGCUUUACUUUAGCUUCGUCCGUCUUGGUGUAUAUUCUUUGUGUUUUCCUUAUACUACCUUUAACUUUUGUGCUGAUUUUUAUUCGAGAAUGCUUAUGUUUAUGGUUUUGUCGUAUAAAGAAAAAACGAUGGAUUCACCUAUAAAAUAUAUUUGAAUAAAUAGAUCAGUCAUAUAGAAAAACAAUCUACUUAUUUUUUUACUAAGAAACACAUUAACUUAUUACAUUUUUUGGAUAGCGUCAUGGACAAACAGAAAUUUGUGAUUAAUAAAAAAAAUACGAACAAGACGAAGAGUAAAAAUAUAGUAUCGUAUGUGCAUAUUUAGCAAGCUGAUAUAUUACUUUAGCAAUAUGGAAUCUUUAUGGCUGGUAAAAAGAGCAAAAAAAAAAAUCAGCAAACACAUGCAGAAAAACGUAGACAUCUUAUGAUUGCGUCAUAUAUUAAUGUGGUUGCUGCAACACCAUUGGUCAAUAACAUAUGGGUGCACCGUGCACAUAUACAUGCCUAACACUGGAUCACUGAGGGUUUUAAUUCUCCACGAAGAAACGCAAAGUGGGUCCGGUGUACCUUUUGUUGGGGGGAGAUACAUUCGUUCACUCUGGAUUGCGUCAUAUAUCAAUGUGGUUGCUGCAACAUCAUUGGUCAAUAACAUCUGGGUGCACCUGCACAUAUACAUGCGUAACACUGGAUCACUCGGGGUUUAAUUCUCCACGAAGAAACGCAAAGUGGGUCCGGUGCACCUUUUUCCUUUCUUUGCCGGGAAAACAAUGAGAAACAGAGAGAGUUAAAGUUUCUUUUUCUCCUUCACUUUCUCACUGCACAUAACAAACAAAAACACACACAAAACCUCUCCAAAUCAAUUCUCGCCGGAGAAUCGAAUCAGUAAUCGCAUCUCGAGAUUUCCGACGGUGUGAACCAUGAAGCGGACUACCUCGUCGAACUCGGAAGCGCAGAGUUACAUCGAAUCACCACUCUCUCCUCUUCGAUUUCACUCUCCGCUAUCAGAUGCCGGAGAUCCACCGGAGAGCCGUUACGUUUCGCCUGAGGGAUCACCGUUCAAACUCGAAAAUCCGAAGGCGAUCGUAACCGACGGCAAGUUCACGCAGUUAACGCCUCUGGCCUCGCCGGUUCCGCCGCCACCUCCUCAGUUUCCGCCGCCGCAUCGUCAGAGAAACGCGAGAGCCCCGACGAAUUCGUCUUCUGAUAAGUCUCCGUCGUCUAUGGUGGUGGUCAAUCGCUGGGUGAGAGAGGAUGGCCCACAGACUACGACGAGGAAGGUUGGACGGCCGACGAACGGCGGAGAAUCGGCAACGACGACCGUGAACAGAGAAAUACGGGAUGAAUUGGUAAGUAAGGCGGCGCUAGGGUUUAGAGUGAGCGAAGUAAUUCUGUGCGUGAUAUCGUUUUCAAUUAUGGCGGCUGAUAAAACUCAAGGAUGGAGCGGCGAUUCCUAUGAUCGCUACAAAGAGUACAGGUCUCUCUUCUCCCUCGAUCUGUUUCUUUCUCCCUUCUUCUUUACACAUUUUAGGAGUUUAGAGUUGGUUUGAAAUCUGAAUUAGAUCAGUCAAAUUUUGUCAACACAAAAAUUUGCAGGUAUUGUUUGGCUGUAAACGUUAUAGCAUUCGUUUACUCUGCAUUUGAAGCUUGCGACGCUGCUUGCUACAUCGCCAAAGAGACUUAUAUGAUAAACUGCGGAUUUCACGACAUAUUCGUUUUCUCCAUGGAUCAAGUGAGUGUUUUUUAACAUUUUGUAUUUGUAAGCAAACACAUAAUGAUUCUGAUGAGCCUCUUUUUCUUUCUGAUGCUUUUAGCUUCUUGCAUACCUUUUGAUGUCGGCUUCUUCAUGCGCUGCUACACGAGUUGAUGACUGGGUAUCUAAUUGGGGCAAAGACGAGUUUACUCAGAUGGCAACAGCUUCUAUCGCGGUUUCGUUUAUAGCGUUUGGUGCGUUUGCGGUCAGCGCUCUGAUUUCUGCUUACAGGCUCUUCACUCAUGCAUCUUCUUAAUUAUCCCCUUUGUGUUGCCCUGAGAAUAUAUGACUCUCGUCUUUGUACAGUCUCUCUUAUAGUCAUAGCUUAGAAAUUAGCACAUGGUAAUGUUUAUUGCUGCUUCAUUGUGUGAUAAAAGUUUCAAUAUGUAUUUAACAAUAAGGCAAGCAAGCAAAUGACUGAGUUUACUUGUGUAACAAGGUUUGACUUGUUUUCUUUUUCAUAACUAAUAUUAAAUUUAAGGUAGGUGAUAAAUCCCAAAACCUAGUAAAUACAUGUGUUUUCGUACAAGCAAACCUCAAAAAGUACCAUAGGAAACGUAUUUGCAUCAAGAAAACCCGAAAUUAUCUAUCUUUUUAGUUCCCUUCUUGGCUGAUCUGUUGCUGCUCUGUUUCUUCUUGAAUCUCUGUGACCUGCAAUCUUCCUGAUCCAUCGCCACCAGAUUCAGAGAACUUAGUGAUCUUCUGUAACUCAUCGCUCACACCUGACUGGUCAUCACUAGCAGCUGCAUCUUGGUCUAUCUUAGCCUGUGGCUUAGGACGGCGAAUGGCCUCGGCUGCUUCUGGCAUAACGACCGGAGGAGGUUGUGGAGGAACCCACGAGCGUUGCCUUUGGAGAGCUGCUGGCUCCAUUGUAUUUGUUUCAUUUUGGAUGCCGAUGGAACGUGAGGCUGUUGUCUCAUAUCCAAAAUCCGUGGAUCUAGGGGUUUUCUGUUGCCACCAUGAACCGUUGGAACUAUCGUCCUGUGGCGCUUGCCCAUAGUCCCAUGGCUGAUCAUAAUAAUAAGAUAACAUGGGUGAUCAGCAAAACUUAAUUUUUAAGAAAAAGUGUGCUGUUCCAUAAAAUCGACCAAGAUUCAUUAUAAAGAAUGUUGUCUUAGAUCAAAAUUGAGAAACAUUUUAAGUUUGUACCUUAGUUUUAGGAGCGAUGCGAGGAUUUGAUAGCUGUUGAUUUGGAUUGGGUGGCAUGUCGUUAAUCUCCUGUAUUUCAGUGAAAGUCUGAUAAGUUUGUCACACUGAACUACAAGGUUAGUCUAAUAAAGGUGCCAAAAAGAAUUUUUUUCAAUUUACCCGAAUGUUCGAAGGCUUCUCCCCUCUCUGGAUCAUAGACAUUAUCUGCAACAUCAGCAAAUUUCAACUAAAUGUUAAAGAAGAUUAAUUGGAAAUUCAAAGGGAAAAGAUUCAAUAUAUAACCCAUGAUUCUGUAGCCAACUUUAGAGAUUUCAGAACAUUACAUCCAUGUAUGACUUUGGAUGAGGGGGCAUAGAUGAAUCAGCUGGAGCAGGAGGAGAAGCAGAUCGUGCUGUAUUAUUAUUUAGUUAGUGAGAAUAGCCUAAUUCAAAAUCAAUAAAACAUAAUGUAGAUUGAGCAAGAGAGAGCAGUUACCUGAGCGCGUGUCAUAAUCAACAUUGCUGCCAUUUGCAUAAGGUUUCUGCAUCACACAUCAACGUUCCUAAUGUUACCAAAAGGACUGUAUUAUCAAGUUCAAGUGUGCUUAGUUGAUUAAUGAGGGGAUCAUUGGUCUCUUUGGAGUGUUUAGGUUUCAGAUUCUGUUUCUUUCGUUCAAGUUCAAUAAACAACUUGUUUUGAGUAAUUCUUUGUGUUUUGUGAUCCUUUAUUCUCUCUCAAUUGGUCCAACCUAACACAAAUGCCUAAGGAAUGACAACGACCACAGACAAUGAUAUAUAAUUCCACUGGUUAAUUGUCAAGUUAAAGUCUGAUGAGAGACUUUGGAUUUAUUUUCCAAAGUUUAUUCCUUCAUAGGGUUUGAUGUUAGGUUUUCUCUCUACAAUGGAUAGAAUCUCUGUUGUGAGAAACAUCCAAGGAUAGAAGAGACCUUAUAGGCUUAUUGGUGGCAAUUACAGAAGGAGUAAAACUAAUCUCUUUGGGAUGUUUUCGUUUCAGAUCCUGCUACUUUACAUUUAAGUUCGAUGAAGAAAAGUGCUUUUUUGAGUUUUCUUUCUGUUUGAGGAUCAUUUACUCAAUGCAUCAAAAAUUAUUCUAUAAUCCCUUGGGACAUUUAAACUCACCCUUGCUGCUGGAGUUGUGAUCGAACCACCAUAAACCUCUUGGUCAGCUGAAUAAAGCUUUGGGAGGUUGUUCGAUUUCCCUGAAAUUAGGAAGUGGAUAUAGAAUAUUACUCUUUAGAUCAAGAAGCUUUAACAGUGGCUCUUAGGAUCAACCAAAAAUUAGGAACCUAGACCCUAUAUGACUCCUGAUAAGAGUGAAGUUGUAAUAGUUCAAAAUUAGAUGUAACAAUAUGAAUACUAAGACACCUAACAGGUGCAUUAUUAAAGCUUGAAUACUUACCUUCGAGCGAACGGAUAUUAUUGCUCAAGGACUUCAUUUCUUGUACUUGGACACCUAAGACGUGCAUUAAGUCCUCAAAAUACUUCUUUUCUGACAAGAAACAAUGCAAAGAUUUGGUUUCAGUGGAAAAGGAAGAAACGACCAAGAGAAGUGCAGAAAUGGUUACAGAAAAAAAAAAAGAGAAACUAAGGUCUAGACUAAACUGCAGAAAUAACGUCUACCUUCACUCUUAGUUUUCAUCAUUUCCUGACUAACCCUGGCUACAUCAGAAGCAGCCGCAGAAGCAGCUUUGGCUGCAGCUACUGCUUCUUCAGCUAAGCUAGGUUUUGCAUCAGCUUUCUUCUGAGGAUCAGUUUCUUCUUCCAACAUUAUUCUGCGGACCCACGAUUUUAAUCUGGGGAUGAGAGAUUUCUGAAACAAGAACAAAUCUCAUUUCAAUGCGAACUUGAUUUUGUAGAAGGAAAGUAGUACCUUAAAAUUCGACUGCACAUGGAGCAUUAUAACACGUCUAGCAAAAAAACUAAAUCCAGAAAAGGGAGAAACAGCUUUCCGACACCCUAACAAAUUUUUUUAUGAAGACUGCAGACUGUUUUUAUGAAAGGUUUUGGCGUCUAUGCUCUGGUGGUCACAUUGAAAUGGAGAAUCAGAUGUGAACUUCAUUAGCUAAGCCAAACAAUGAAUUCCAAAAUGUUCUCUUCCAUUUCAGUUAUGACCUCACACCAUCUUAUCCUAUUAUUCGGUGUACUAAGUAAAAUCAUAAGACAAAGAUCUUAACACACUGCAUAUAAAGGGGUUUCAGGUAAACGGUACCUUUACAAAAACAGCUGUUCCGGCACCAGAAGCCGCUAAAACUCCAACAGCAAGAGCAGCAUGGUACCAGCGAAAGCGGGAGAGAAAACUUGGAGGCGGAAUCAUAACAACGGGAGCAGGAGCAGGCUGCAUGGCUUGUAUCUGCCCUUGUGGCUGAACAUUAGAGACUGCUUGCUGUCCAUCUGUUUGUAACACUAUAAAAAAUUCAAUACACUGAAUAGUCCAGCCAUCAAAGGAACAACCAAACAUAUGUUCUUGCUAAUUUACCUUGGCUGUUAACAUUUGUCUGCGAACUUGGUGGCGGGUCCUAUGUUCAAUAUUUUUGCAGAGGUAAGCCAUUGAAAAUGAUAUUUUUUUAAUGAUCAAAAGACAGGAAGAGGAAGCAAAGAAGCUUACAGGAACACGGCGGAAAGCUUCGUCGAUCUCUUCCUUUGUGAGGCCUUUCCUCUCAAGAAACGAUCUUCUAUGAAUAACAGGAGAUCCUCUAACCCUCGGGUGCGAAAGGAAUUUGAUGGCGUUCUGAAUUUGGUCCUCCCGUAUUGGCUCUGAAUUCUUAAACACAGAGGGAAGAGAGUCCUGCUUAGCAGUUUCUUGAGCGAUGCUAGCUUGCUGAACAUCAUUUGCAAGUGGCUUUGUUACUUCUGUAAUAACAUUUUUUGUAAACAACAACGUUAAUUAUAAAUCCUACAAGUUUUUCCAUUUUCCAAGAGGCAAUACAAAGAAUUUGUUCGCGAAACCAAUAAAAAUGCCCAUUUUAAGGUAUUGAAGAAAAAAAGAGAGAUUAGAGGCUGUAACUAAACCUGAAAUCUGGGAUUUUUCAUCACCCGGAGCUGGAAAAUCGGAAGGAGUCUGCUGAUGAGUUGCCAUAGCAGCUCACCGACCUUCAAAGGAUCCAAGAGGCAGAGACUUCGAAAUCGAAGUGAGAAAGAAGAAACGAAGUCGAAAACGAUUGAUAAGAGAAGAGAUCUUCUCCGGGAGAAAGGGAAAAAAAAUCGUGGGGAUGAGUAAUCAGAUUUUGCUCAUAUCGAGGAAGAGAGAGUUUUAAGUUGGAAAUUCCGAAAUCAUGUUUUCGCUGAUUUUUAUUUUUCUUUGCUGUUUGGUGAGAGUGUAUCUGUGUGGCCACCACACCAAGAGAGGAUAAUGCCAUCGUGUGGUUUUUAUUUUUCCUUGCUCUUAUAUUUGGGCCUUAUAACAAUGGGCCUGAAAGAAAUAUUUGUUUUAAUGGGCCUUUUUAAAGCCGCACUGAUUUAGUCUCCUUUAUAAUAACAUAGAGAAAAUGGGAACGUGUCGUUACCUUAAUAGGGGUCGCUCUUACUAAAAGUCGAAUCUUUUAACAAAAUGCUAAACGAAAUUAAAAAAUGUGAAAACUGUUGGUGUAUGUACCAUUCAAAUUGCGAUCUCACUCACCAAUCCAUAUUCUUCUUAUCAUCUUUCUCACUGUUUCUGCUUUCUUCCAAACUAGUUCUUCUUUGACAAUCUGAGUUGAAUAAAAAAAAAAGGUGGGUUCUCUGAAAAAUAUUCGAUUUCGAAAAGACUGAUGAUGACACUAAACUCAUUAUCUCCAGCUGAAUCCAAAGCUAUUUCUUUCUUGGAUACCUCCAGGCUCAAUCCAAUCCCUAAAAUUCCAGGUUUAUCCCCAAAAAUCCACUAAUCUCUCAUCUUCUGCAAAUCUCUUUUGGAUAUAAAAAAGCUGCAACUCUUUUCUUUACUUCUUCUUCGACUCGUACGAAUUUUGCCGUCUGGGUAUCUUCAAACUGUAACAUAUGACCCAUUUUUUCUGUAAAUUCAUCGAUUUCAAAAACUAAACUUGCAAAAUUCGAAAUUUUCAGGUUACUUUAGUUCUGUUAGUUUAAAUUUUACAUCUUUGGGGUGUCGCCAGGUGGGUUUUGUUUGAGGAGGACGAAUCAAAGGAAAGAUUUUGGAAAAGAAGUCAAGUGUUCAGUGAAAGUGCAUCAGCAACCUCCUCCACCUCCAGCAUGGCCUGGAAGAGCUAUUCCCGAGCCGCCUCGUCAGUCUUGGGAUGGACCAAAACCCAUCUCAAUCGUUGGAUCCACUGGUUCUAUUGGCACUCAGGUUUUAUAUCCAUUUCUUGUUUGGCAGAUGAUUUUAGCUCCAUAAGUUGGACUAGAGACGUUGUUUUCCAGUUCUUGAGUGAGCUGAGACUGUAAAUUGUGUUUAUAUUGUUGGAAUCAUUUUCUAUCGAUAAGCAAUUGCAGUAUCUUGUAUUUUGUAGACAUUGGAUAUUGUGGCUGAGAAUCCCGACAAGUUCAGAGUGGUGGCUCUAGCUGCUGGUUCGAAUGUUACUCUCCUUGUUGAUCAGGUACAUCUUAACAUCAUGUGUAAAUUUACAGUUAAUUACUCUCUCCGAUUUGUCGUUUAUACCACCUGGAAUCAAUGUUUUAUUGUGAAGUAGCUGUGUAAACAGGUUCUUGCUUAGUUUUUUCGCCUUCGGUGAUCUCGAGAAAACUCUAUACAGUAUUAUGGUUCUCUGACUCUCUUUUGAAUGGUGGUGCAGGUAAAGAGAUUUAAACCUGCGUUGGUUGCUGUUAGAAAUGAGUCGUUGGUCAAUGAGCUUAAAGAGGCUUUAGCGGGUUUGGACUAUAAACCUGAGAUUAUUCCUGGGGAGCAAGGAGUUAUUGAGGUUAGUGCAUCUUUUCCAGUUUUUGAGUGCGGUGUGGAUUUUUACAGAUUUUUGGAUCCUCUUCGAGUUUUUGCUUAAAUUCAUCUACAGGUUGCUCGUCACCCGGAAGCUGUAACUGUUGUUACAGGAAUAGUAGGUUGUGCGGGAUUAAAGGUAUAUACUCUCUUCUUUUUUUUGUCCCUAAACCUUAUUGAGAGAAAAUGAGUAAGAAAGUUAGAAAACUUGUUGUUUAUUUUUCCUGCAGCCUACGGUUGCUGCAAUUGAAGCGGGAAAGGACAUUGCUCUUGCCAACAAAGAGACAUUAAUCGCAGGUGGUCCUUUCGUGCUUCCACUCGCCAACAAGCAUAAUGUUAAGAUUCUUCCAGCAGAUUCUGAACAUUCAGCCAUAUUUCAGGUAUUGAAAUGCACAUAGAAUUUGAGUAACCCCACUUUCUUAUUGACUUAAGUUUUGGUCUUAAUGCAAUUUAUAGCGCUGGCAAUUGAGUGAAUUUAUUGAUUGCUAUGUUCUCUAGUGUAUUCAAGGUUUGCCUGAAGGCGCUCUGCGCAGGAUAAUCUUGACUGCAUCUGGUGGAGCUUUUAGGUUUGUUUCAACAUCCUUUUGCUAUUCUUCUCACUCCAUAGAUUUUUUUCCUUGAUUCUUAUUUGGUUACAAAAAAUGUUGGAAAAGGGAUUGGCCUGUUGAGAAGCUCAAGGAAGUGAAAGUAGCGGAUGCGUUGAAGCAUCCAAACUGGAACAUGGGAAAGAAAAUCACUGUGGACUCAGCGACCCUUUUCAACAAGGUUAAGAUCCUUUUCUUCUCAAAUUAAACUCAAAAGUAUCUUUGAUCCGUUGUAAGAUGAGCUCUUGAUAUCUUGAACAGGGUCUCGAGGUCAUCGAAGCUCAUUACUUGUUUGGAGCUGAGUAUGACGAUAUAGAGAUUGUCAUUCAUCCUCAGAGUAUCAUACACUCCAUGAUUGAAACACAGGUCUUGCUCUGGAAAGAAAAUAACUGCAUGCAUUUUUUUUCAUGUAUUUAGAAAACAAAAUUUGCUUAACAUAUAUAUAUAUGUCUUUUGUUCCAUAGGAUUCAUCUGUACUUGCUCAGUUAGGAUGGCCUGAUAUGCGUUUACCGAUCCUGUACACCAUGUCGUGGCCCGAUCGGGUUCCUUGUUCUGAAGUAACUUGGCCAAGACUUGACCUUUGCAAGUAAGCAAUCCACACACAUAUUUAGAUAUCCUCUCCUCUGUCAAAUAAAUCGACACACACACAUUGUGGAUUUUGGCAGGCUCGGUUCGUUGACAUUCAAGAAACCAGACAAUGUGAAAUACCCAUCAAUGGAUCUUGCUUAUGCUGCUGGACGAGCUGGAGGCACAAUGACCGGAGUUCUCAGUGCAGCUAACGAGAAAGCCGUCGAAAUGUUCAUUGAUGAAAAGUAAGAAUUUUGUUUUUCUUUUUCUUUGAGAGUUAUCCCAAGUAAUAAUCUUGAAAGGAAUCACAUUGUUUUUAAUGUCUCGUUUUGUUUACAGGAUAAGCUAUUUGGAUAUCUUCAAGGUAGUGGAAUUAACAUGCGAUAAACAUCGAACCGAGUUGGUAUCAUCGCCGUCUCUUGAAGAGAUUGUUCACUAUGACUUGUGGGCGCGUGAUUACGCUGCGAAUGUGCAGCUUUCUUCUGGUGCGAGGCCAGUUCAUGCCUGAUAAUUAGUUGUUGGCAAGGAGAUUGAUUAAUUCAGUGAUUAAGAAGAAUUGUUGGAGAAAUGGGUUCCUUUUAACACCGUUUUGGCAAGGAUUACCGAUUCUAAGUUGUACCUAAUCUAAUCUGUGGUCCGAACAAGCCAAACCGAAAUUUUAAACCAAUAAAGCUGAAUUCAAUUUUAUUCCCGCUUAUUGUUUUUUAUUUCUUCGGUUCGAUUAUUAUUUGCAAGGUAAUAUAUGGUAGAAAAAUAAAAGAGUGUAAAUAGUUGUACAAUUACAAGAAUAAAGGAAUUUUACCAUUUACAUUGAAACACACAUAAAAUGACUUGCACCCAUAUCACUUGACAAACUUGAAUUAUGAACAAAUUUUCUUUAAGUAUUCAUGUACUAUACUCAAGAUGAACAAAUGGAACAAUACUAUUUUACUAUCAUCCAUAUAACAUAUUUGGCUCAUUACUUUUCCAUUCAUCUUUUUUCCCACUCGCUUAAUUCAUGUUUAUGUAUGUAAUUAAAAUUCGGUUGAAUGGUAUUUAACUAUUUACUGUUUGCCGUUAACUUAAGAAAAAUAACAAAAAAAAUGUAUACAGAUGAAAUUAAAAAAUGAGGGAAUUUACAUUUUCGUUUCACAAUAAUUGCUUUGAAAAUAUGGCAAUGUAAGACUACUGCAAGAUAUGAGAGCUAAUAAUUUUUGUUUCUAAUGAUAACAAAGGAUUAAUUAGGAUUAAGAAAACUAAUCACGACUUUUUCACCUUAGAGUAAGGAUAAAGACAGCAAUGCACUCUUUUGAACCUACUCCCACCGCUAAAAUCAUUAGGAAUAAUUUUAACUUGCAAGUCAUAUAUGAAAAUCCUUCACAUUAGAUUAAUAAUUGUUUGGUGAAAGCGAUUUCGAACAACAAAAAUGUUUAUUUUGUCGGCUCAUUAUUUUGAAAUGAUGAUGUUCUUUAUAUGGAUAUUAUUAAUAAAUAUACUAGAAAAAACAAUUGGCCGGUUUAUGAACUAAAGCAGGUUGUAAGUUAUCAUUAAUCGUAACUUGCAAGUCAUUCUUUUCACAAUCGUGUUAUCAAUUUACCUGUGGUGCUACUGCGUUUCCUAAACGACACAUGUACGACUUGAAUGUUAUAUUUGAGAUUGUAUUUUGAUUAGAUACUAAGCAAUAAGCGUUGUUAUAAUGAAAAUCCAAUUAACCUAACAUUUGAAAACAUGAUUAUUUUCGCCUGUCUGAUAUUCGAUAACAUAAAAUUGGUAAAAAAAAAAAAGGUUAAAAAAAGAAAAAUAUGCCGUAAUAGUAAGAAGUGUUAUAGUUUUCGCUUAACAUAUCUGGUGAAUAUCGAUAUAUCGUUUUCGUUUUCUUGUCGUACCGCUUCUUAGAACUGUUUUGUUUUACUACUUUGUUUUACAGUUUUAGCAUAUACGUAACUGAUAAUUAGUAAAGCGAUAUACUAUUUACUAUUGCGCGAUAAGAUUUAUCAAUCAAAUGUGAAAUCUAUUACAGUAAACACAAAACACGAGAAGUGGAAUGAAUCUAUUUUGAUCUCCGAUUCUCUAGUUUUAUAAUACCACAAAUUUAAUGUCGUUGUGGAUUCCACUGAACAUAUUAUAAACAUAGACACUAAAAACCUACUUCAUUACAGAAAUGACGACUACUAUUAAACUAAACGUAUCUUCUGAAUACGUACUCGUAUGUAGUUGGGAUGACUCAAGUGUAGUCGAUCAAUAGUGUGAACACAUUUCAUUUGAUAGAAAUUUAAACAAGAUCCCAAGGCAAACCAAACAUUCCUACAAUAUCCACCUAAAUGUGUUAUAUCCAAAUUAAUAAAUCCAUAUAUUUAUUAUUUAUACAAAAGUAUUAUGAGAUUCCACACGUUAAUGUUUAACACGUCAAAGGACCACACACUUUUUGUGUCUAAAAUAAAGAAACAUACAGCACUUAUCCAAGUUUCGAAUUUAUCUACACACAUACAUUUAAGUAAUUUUAAUCUCAUAGAAAUAUUAUCAAUCAGUUAGUUAAUUGGAAGAUCGUGUGGACACCUGAAAUUGCCAAAUCAUAUUCUUAGGUCAAAGAAUUUAACAUUAUGAUGAGAAAGAACAAAAUGGCUAUAAACGAAUAAAAACGAAUAGUCUCCAUUCCAAUAAUCAAUCAACCACCAAAACUUAUAUCUAACCAAACCGACACAUCGAGGUUUUAAUUAAAGAAAUAUUCACUUUCUUGCCAACACUCAAGAUUUUCUCGGAAACCAAAAGAAAAAGGUUGAGAGAGAGAAAUAAAAGGAAGAGAGAAAAAAAAAAGUUGGAAAAAGAAAGAAACCGAAGCCCACCCAAAGUCCGCGUCUUCGAUUUCUGUUUCUCUACAUGAGAGCCACGUCACCUUCAAAAAGGAUGUAAAUGACGACUAAGCCCAUUCACGUUUUUCAAUAUUCCAAUCAUAUCCUUUCUAUACGGCCCAAAUGUCUGUCGUUUUGCCUCUUCGCUUUCCUUUUCUUCCUCUCCGACCACCUUCGACGUCGGUUCUUCUUCUUCUCUUUGAUCGGAGUUAGUUUCAUCGCUCUUCUUAACUGGCGCCGGAAAUACGAGCUUCUCGUUCCCUUCGCUACUGCUUCUCGCGUACAGAAGAUUCCGGAGCUUCCAUCGUUUAGAGAAUCCAGCGGAAUGGCUUUUGAUUUUGCUCUGUGAUGGAGAAGACGAGAGCCCUUGGAGAUCGUCAUCUCUGGAAUCUCCACCUCUAUUUGAUUGAUUAGGUGUCCAUACACAGUAAGUCUCCGGCGGAACACCGAUUAGAUCCUCCUCCGCCUCCGAAGACGAAUUCGACGUCGGAUCUCGGUCCUCGCUCAUCAGUUUUCUCAACGCCGGUCGAUGACGACGGGGUAGAUUACUCUUCGGCGGAGAUGGCGUCGGCUGAGAUUCUCCACCUUUGCCAUAUACCGGAGCAUUCGCGAUUCCACCACCGUACGGGAUCAACGGACGGAUCUGACCGUUGCAGAAAAUCUCGUCGGCGGUAGCGAUGGGGUGGGAGAAUCUGCGGCUGGGACAGUCGAAGGCGAACUCGAAAUCAUCGCCGUCGCGGUGGGAAUCGGAUUGUGGCUCCUGGUCUCUGAAUUCCUCGACGACGCGGGCUGCGAUGGCGGCGAGGUCUACGGCGGAGGAAAAACUGCCGAAACUCGGAGAGUUGGAGGAAACGGAGAGUAACCGACUCGCCUGCAUUUUAGAAAGUUGUUGCAGAGUUUUCUGAACUGAAACGCUUAGAGAGGGAGAGAGAGACAAAUAAAGAUUGUACGCUUCGAAAGUUGGGCCCCGUCGACUAUAUAUACGGGAAAAUCGUUGUAUUUUCACUCACGGAGAAAAAACAAAUUUUAAUGAUUACAUUACGAAGAUUAUUAGUUAUUUUAAUCAAGGAGCCAAAAAUGUAAGGUAUUAAAUCAAAUAUCAUGAUCUAACAAGGAGCGUAAUGAACAUAAACCACUAACUAAGGAUGUCAAAUAAACUAAUCCAACCACAAACGCUUAAGCUUAACAUAAGUCUCCACCUUAUCUUUUAAACGGUCAAUAAAUUAUCUCCAAGUAAUUAUAAAAAUAUAUACUGUACACGAAAAGAAAUGUUUUACUUAUCUUCUCCGAUGUCACGUUUGAUCACCAUCAAAUCAGUGAUAAACUUAUCUACAAUGUUUGCAUUCUACGUAUAUAUUGAAUAUUCAAAUGUGAAUGAUGUCACAGAAAUGACGAAUGUAAACGUUGGUUAGGGAAGUCUUGGUCAGUAUUAAAAGGUAAAAUGUAGAGUAUUUAUCCAUUGAUAGUGAAUGGCGACAAGUCAAAGGAAUAAAUCUUCUGUCCUAGAUUCCAAAACUUAGCUUCGCAUGUAUAUAUUUUUUAAAUGUUUUGUUUUCAAAACUAUUACUAAUAUACGAAAAAACAUCUUCUUCAGCUUAUAGGAUGCAUUAAACAAAAAGUCUUUGUAAAUACAAGCUUGUGGAUCGUGUGAUAUAAACAAAAAAAAAACUUCUUAAGAAGGUAAAAGACUAACAGCCGUAAAACUACUAUCUUUUUGAGAAGUCUUUUAUAUAUUUUCUCAAUUUCAUACAAGAUUGAUGUUUCAAAUUUUUGUCUUUUGAUCGAUGCAUUGUAAAAUUAACAUACAACAUUAUCAGAUGAAACUUUAAUUAAUAAUCUUAUGAGAAAAUAUUUUUCUUUGUCAACGACAAUGGAUAGUUCAAUUUAUUUGGGUAAAAAGUUCAACUGGAUUGUAUGUGAAUGCAACUUUUAACUUCUAGUUGGGCCUUCUCGUAUGGACUCACAUAAUGGGACUUAGUGUAAACGGGCCUCACCGAUGCAUUUCUCAUUGUGGGACGCGGUAAAAUAAUUAUUAACUUUAUAAUCUAUCCUUUUUUCUCCGCUGUUUAAGAAAUCAGUCACUUGAAAUAUUAUAAUUCAGAGCAAAGUCAAGUUACAGUUAGAAGUUUUGGUUUUCAGCUUCUCGGAAAACAUUAGUUCUCUUCUCUUCCCCACCUUUCCAUCAAUUUCACCGCAUAAACCCUAAUUUAGAUUUUAGGGUCCCUCUUAAACACUCUUGCAAAUCUCCAAGCUCCUCUUUGACAAAACUUCAUCAGCAACAAUGGAUAAUAAUUUCGGGAACUAUCAUCAUCAUCAAUGGCGUCCAGGACCAACACAGCCAAACUUGUGCCCGGUUUGUACGGCGCCGCACUUCCCUUUCUGCCCACCGUAUCUUCCAUCUUCCUUCCAGCAGACUCCUAGCUUCCCUCCUCACCUCAACUUACCUCGUCCUGGAUUCGACUCGUUCACCGGACCACCGGUUCGACCGCAAAACCACUAUCCGCUCGGUGAUCCAAGACCGUGGUUAGCUCACCACGGUAAUCAAUGGCGACCGGUUUCUGACUAUCGCAGCGCUGUUGAUUGUGAUAGGGAAGCUGAUCGGAGCUAUAAGAGAGCUCGGAUUGAUGCGAUCGGCGGUGGUUCUCCCGGUUAUGUUGUUUCUGGGAGCGAUGGAUUUCAGAGUCCUCAGAUCUCAUGGGAGAACGAACGGAGGCUGAAGAUGGUUAGAGAUCAUGGUUACGGUUUAUCUGCGCCGUCUCCGGGAAAUCUCGAUGAUUCCAAUCUCAAGAUGAAUCAUCACUAUCCGAUGAGCGAAUUUAGGAAUGGCGGUCAACUUAAUGGUGUAGCUCCUCCUCCGCCUCCGCUUCAUCAUCCGCCGCUGCCACCGGCGUCGUACGGAGGCUAUUUUGGCGGUCCUAAUGGUCAGCCUCCUCUUCCGGUUUCGCCACCACCGCCUUUGCCUCCAUCUAAUCCUUCUUCUCUGUUUCCUUUCACCGCUAAUUCCUCUGCAACGGUCUCUCCACCGCCAUCAUCAUAUCCUCAAAUGCCAAAUGCUUCGGUAAUGUUGCUCUCGUGAUUUCGUUCUUACCUCGAAAGUAUCUUGGUUUUUUCUGUACUGAUGAUUUCUUAUCGUUUGGUAGCCAUCUUCUACACAAUUAGCACCAACUCGGUCUAAAGUGAUGGAUGUGUCCCAUUUGCUCAAGCCUCCUCAUCGGUCUACUCGCCCUGAUCAUUUUGUAAUUAUCCUUCGAGGACUACCAGGUUGUUUUUCGAGCCUUCUCUUAGCUCUUUUGGUGGACUUGUUGCAUGAUUUCAGUUCUUAGCGUAGGCUCUUGCUUCUUGGUUUAUCUCUUAGUUUGUUCAAGCUCAUGAAUAUCACCUUCACUUGUUUUUGCAUUUAGAGUGUAGGUGUUACUGAGUAAUAACUCCAUUUGUAUAUAAUUAUAUAUAUGAAGGUAGUGGGAAGAGUUAUUUAGCAAAGUUAUUGCGUGACAUCGAGGUAGAAAAUGGCGGUAGUGCUCCGCGAAUCCAUUCUAUGGAUGAUUACUUCAUGGCUGAAGUUGAGAAGGUUAAUCAAUCCUCAUUAUUCUUCUUAAAAGUGUGAACUCUUUACCUGGGACUAUCAAAGUUAUUCUAAGAUUGUUUUGCUCUAUCAAUGUAAAAGGUUGAGGAGAGUGAUUCAGCUUCUUCAAGAUCUGGUCGAAGCAAGAGACCUAUUGUAAAAAAGGUCAUGGAAUACUGCUACGAACCUGAGAUGGAAGAAGUACUUUUUCAGAACAUAUAUUUCUAGAUAAAUGAAACAUGAAUAUAAACCAUGACUUUAUUUUUCUUUUCUUAAGUUUCUUGGCACUCUUGAAUUCUCAGGCGUAUCGUUCAAGCAUGCUGAAAGCUUUUAAGAGGACUCUAGAAGAUGGGGCUUUCAGCUUUGUAAUCGGUAAUUAUUUUUCCCGUAACUGCAUACUAGGAUGUAUGACUAUAUCUCACUUUAGAAAUUUUUAUUUCCUUGCAAAAGGUAAUUGGUAUCUGUGAUCUGAUGACAUUAUCUCUUUUGGUUUGAUUAUGUUGACAUGAUGGCUACUACGUUUAUUUUUGAGAAAACAUUUCAUAUAAUAUGGUUUCCUUAGUUCCUUAGUUCAAAGAACUUAAUAUCCUCACAGCAGCUCUCUUGUCUGAUCAAGGUAUAGGGGUAAUAUAUAUUUCAAGGUGUAAGAUUUUCAUUUAGGGAUCCUAUUCAUCUAGUUUAGCUAGGAACUGGGUGGUGCAGUGUCCAAGCACUACUUUCAUUUUCUCUAACCACGAAUGCAGUUUGUUUUCUGGAAUUGACCGUUUCUUGCUGGUAUGUGUCGCUCAUCUUAGUGGAUGACCGCAAUCUGCGGGUAGCUGAUUUUGCUCAGUUUUGGGCAACAGCAAAGGUAUAUCCUCACUUCUUUCUGUAUUACCUUGUGGAGAGUAGAUGUUGUUUUUGCGGAUUCUAUGGAAGACUCAUUAUGAUUUGUGAAGUCAUCUAGCUUCUUAAGUGCUUAGUUAUUCUUGGUUUCUCAAGUGUCUAAAUAGUUUAGUGUGCAUUAAACGUUACUCUAACUUGUUUUUAUACGUAAUGUUUUCUAGUAAGUUGACGUUUCUGUCAAUAGAUUAGUUAUCUGAAACAAUUUCAGAAUCAGCUAAUGCUCCGUCAAAUUUUGAAGUAACCUUGCAUUUCCCUAGAAAAGAUGUCUAUUCUUUCUCUCCCUCUCUAUCCUUCCCGCUCUUUCCUUUAAAACCUCCUGGUUGUGUGUGUAUCAUCGAAGAAGAUAUUGACGUGAAGAAGCUUCCAAGUUCUUACAACUCCUUUCUCCCUUAUGAUUGCUAAUUCCCUCUUUAACAAGAUGGGAGUCAUUAUUUUGUUAGUGACUGUCUGUACUAUUCAUGGUUUUAUUUCACCUGCAAGUUGGAGUUGUUGUUUAUUUAUUUAUCUGCUUGCUUCAUGUUGUUUGCCAAACAUCAUGCAACCAACUUUAUGUGAAGUUGCCAUUCUUUUUUAAUUUCCGUAGCCAUGUACGUUCAGUGAUCAAUAGAUACUCUGGAUUUUGUCCUUUCCUAUUCAUUUAUAAACAAAUAGUGGUACUGUUUGCUUGAUGGCUUCUUGACCAGCUGAAAACUAGUAUGAUUCAAAUAAAAGGCUUUGAAUGCGAGAAUUCCUGUUUUGCUCAAAUUCAGUUUGUUUCAGUCUUCAUUUGCCUCGCUUUUGGACAGUGACUGGUGGCUUUAAUAUUUACCCGAAAUAUAGAUGCCGAUUUCUGAGUAUGAUUGGAUGCUUGUAGUAAAUGUUGCACCUUGAAUUGUUACCUGUAACAUUUGAAACGAGGUCAACUAAAUCAUGAUCCUCGUCUAGUACAGAAAGUGAAAGCUUUUAUCUUGAUCGUAGUUUGGAAGUUUUCUUGACAUUCUGUUUCUUGUGCAGAGAUCUGGAUAUGAAGCUUACAUAAUGGAAGCGACAUACAAGGACCCAACUGUGAGUUUCGGCAUAUUUUUUACUGUCCGAUAACUUAGAAAUUGUAUCCCAGCUUGUAUAAAUGGGCGCACUAUAAGAGCAUUAUCAUAUUUGAAUAGAAUGCCAUUCACAUUUCUUGCUGUGCUAAGUGGGUGGGUAAUUGCAGGGCUGUGCAGCAAGAAAUGUACAUGGCAUCACACUAGAUCAGGUACAGCAGAUGGCAGAACAAUGGGAAGAAGCUCCAUCAUUGUACAUGCAACUGGAUAUCAAGGUUUUUCUGCCAUUCAUUUUUUAUUUAUUUUUGGAACGUUUGAACUCUGAAGGAAAUUCAGCAUGGGUUUUAUACAGCAAAAUUUGGGACUUUAAACAAUACCAAUCUCAUGUUCUUGCAUUUUUUAACAAUAUCUAACAGUCUUCUUUUUCUGUGAUAGUCUUUUACGCGGUGGGAUGACCUGAAAGAGAGUGGAAUCGAGGAGGUAAUAGAAUAAAUUAUUUUAUAUACCCUCUCUGUUCUUUAGUUGACAAGGGUUCAGAGAAACCUUGUUUUUGAUCGUUGUUUCAAUCUUGGGCCUUGAUUAGUUUAUUAUAUGAUCCCACCUAAUAACUUGUCAUAAAAAAUUACUCUAGGUGGAUAUGGACAUGGAAGAUGAUUUUGGACUGCCAGAAAGAAAAGAUGAUAACAGCUCCCAGUCAGAAGUGAAGGGUGCGACAGAAGGUAAAAUUUAAAUGCGGCCUUAAUACUUGCCAAGACAAACCGAAAACACUUAGAUGAGUCUUUCUUUUGAUAUUGUCGUAGGCUCUUACAUAAAUGAGAGUAAAUGGGAAGCAGAACCUAGCACCCAUACAGAAAAAGUGAAAGAACUAAGCAGAAGUAAAUGGUCAAACGUAGAGGAAGACGACGAAACAGAGAAAUCUCAAAGCACAGGAAGAAACUCAAAAUCCCUUUCCAGGUCAAGCCAAGAACGGUUGCGGAAAGGCAAAACUGUUUGGUGGGGCGACAAGGUAUAAACAAAACACUCUUUGCUUCUACAUUUCGACUGUAGAAACAUGUUUAUCUUGUGGAAAAUCUCUUGCAUUUGUAUCUGCGGAUAGGGUGGAGACGCAGGUUUUUCAAUUGGUGCUGCGAGGAAUAUGAGCAUGCCUUCUUUAGUUAUAGGUCCUGGAUCAGGAUACAACUUGGUAAGCAAACGAAGAAAAAAAGAAAUGGGUGUCUUCUUGGUCUUAUUACUGUAUGUAUCUUUUUUUUAAUAUAUAUAUUUCGUCAUGGGUUUAAUGCAGAAAUCGAAUCCGCUAUCACGAGAAGAGAGUCUUGCACUGGCUGAUGCUAUUGGAAAAGCAAAGGUAAGAGGAAUUUUCCAGGAUCAGCUUAGAGCAGAGCGUGAGUCUUUUAAAGCGGUUUUUGAUAAGAGACAUGUACGAAUCCCUACGUCUUACAAUUCAAAGGACGACUAAGUGUAUGAUGCAUUUUUUCCUCUGGGAAACCCCAAAGUUUAUUUCCCACUUUGACAUUCACAUCAACCAAUAGAAUUGAGAGAAACAUGGGUUGGGGGGGUUUAAACUAUUAUUAUCCCUUGUUCUGUGUUCGUAUGAAUUUUAAUGUUCUUUUAAUAAAAAAACAUUGGGAUUAUGAAUUUCCCCACUUGAUUAUUUGUGUAUCAUUUCAUUUGUAAAAAAGUUUUUCACAAAUUCAAAAUUAAAAUGCUAAUUUCGCACCAAGUAAUAAUUCUACUUAACAAUAUUAAUUUGGAGUCUAUAGAACUAAAGCCACCAAGAUUACCCAAUGGUUUCCAUCGUAAGAGAAAGCAACCAAGAACUUGAAGUACGCGCUUACAAUAACUAUUAAUUUGUAUAUUAUUUACAGUUUUAAAAUCGUGCCACUGUGAAAACUAUAAUGAGGAUCGGAACUCUACGGAUGAGCUUAAAAGAUUCUAUCAUUCCACAAACCAUAAAUUCUAAAGAUAGAAAACCUCGGAACAUACGAAAGUCCAUAUUUCUCGUUAUACAAGUGAUUUCUACGGAUGUGAUUAUUACAUGUCUAAAGUUAGCUGAAGAUCCUUUUGUAAUAUAAAGGGUGAUUCUUAGUUCAAAAGAAAUAUGUAAGAAACAAAUUUAGAUUUAAACACUAUCUAAGAAACAAAAAAACGUUAAAGAAAAAUGGGAGAAACAGAAGACAAGAUAGUGAAGAAUCAUGGUGAUAACGAAGAGAAACACAACAAGGCUGAGAAAACAGAGGAGAAAGAGAAGAAGAAGGAUAAAGAUAAGAAGGAUAAGCACGAGGACGAUAAAAAUGGAGGAGGAGGAGAAGAAGGCGAAGAUCAAGAGAAGAAAAGCAAGAAGAAAGAUAAGAAGACGAAGAAAGAGAAGAACCCUGAAGAUAAAAAAGAUCCAGAGAAGUUGAAGUUGAAACUUAAGAAGAUUGAAGACAAGAUUCAAGCUAUGGUCUUAAAGAAAGAUGAGAUCGUGAAGCUUAUUCAUGACGCAGAACAAGGUAAGACGACUACUUCAGUGGAUGCACCACCACCUACUAACUAACUAAUUCAAAUGCAAAACUAAAGUUUCAAGUUAACCCCAUAAUUUUGUAUCUAUAUAUUUAUCACUCCGUUCAAUAAGAAGUACUGAUGAAUGUUGUUUUCAGCGUAUUUUGGUAGGCUUUUUGUUUUUGUUCAUACCAAUCAGAGUUGCCUGUUUGAUUUUACGUGUUGUAAAUUGUACAAAAACCAUGUGUUUUUCUAUGUAAUACUUUUAAGCUUACUAUUUUUUUGGUCAUUCUGAUUUUUACCACAUUGGAAGGACUAUAAAGUUUAGGUGUUUGGACGUUGGCUGGAUUUGUAGCACAUUUUGUUUUCCUCAUUUUUUUCUUAGUGACUGGUAAAAUAACUUAGGGAUAUAGAGUAAUUAUGAUUUUUUUGACUUCAGACUUUUACUCUAAAUUUGUUAACCAGUCAGGCCCUUAAUUCCGAGGAUAUUGGGUUGAAAUAUUGAAGAAUACUGAGGGGCCAGAUGGUAAAUUAGUUUUUCCACCAUGAAAGUGGAAACAAGCACUGAAGCACAUGUCUGCUAACCAAAAAAGGCUGAAUUUACUUCUUCUAGCAACUAGGAUCAUUUGUUAUUACGUAUAGGAGGUUCAGGUGGCAUAUAAUUCACACAUCACCAUCUUAUGACUAUUACAGAAUUAUUUCAUAUUAUAUAAAAUUAACCAUGUGAAAAGGCUUGUCUGUUUAAGAUGAAUUAUUGAGAUCCUAAAUAUAAAAAGGCCCUGCGAAACUUAUGACAAUGUCAAUGUCUACUUGCCACUACAAGGAAAUGCCACUAAUUUCGUGUAGGUGAAGGAAAUUUCCUGCGAAAUUUCAUCAACCUAUCUGAGUGUGAAACAAAACAUCUUUAACAGACAACUUAACAUUUUCGACCAAAAAAAAAAAAAAAUCUUUAACAGACAACAUUAUUAUUAAUCAUUACCUCACCAAUGCGAAUAGUAACACCUUCAAAUAAACAAAACACCAGAAUUUAGUUAUUCUUAAUGGCGGUGAAAUUACUUGGAGCAGUUUGCAUUUACGGCGUUAAUGUUAAUAACGUUGGUUGUAUUAUUGGCGUUAAAUAUUAUUACUAGCAAAUUCUAAACACAAACAAAACUAAUGUUGAACAGCAUUAGUGUGGAUAUUAAUUGACGCGUGUAAUGCUAACGUGAAUGGUGCACAAUUUGACAUCAAAACCAUUCACGUUCUCAACAUGUACACCAUUCAAAGCCGAAUUCAUCUUUGACUUCUCCUUUACUCUUUGAUUUCUUUAGAAAAUCGAUCUACAUUGACCAAGCUUUCCUCUUUGACCCUUUCCUCUUUGAUUUCUGUAGAAAAUCGAACUACAUUGACCGGAAAAAUAAAGAAAAAAAAAAAAUACUUAUGUUACUAGCAUCCGUUUUCAUUCAAUAAUCCAUACAAAUUGUUUGAUCUCUUUUUAGCUUAUAACUUAAACUCUUUAUUUGAUGCUACUUACGAUUUUGGUUGUAAACCCAAAUAUGUCUAUACAGCAAGGGGAAAAAAUCCAAAAAAAAAGCAAAAAAAAGCAAAACAAGAUUCACUGUAAUCGAAUAGAGAAUGAAAAAAAACCAUCAUAAGAUCUUAAUCACACACCAUAAGCUGAGUAAAAGAAAGAGAACAUAGAAAGUCCAUCCACUUCAAGACUGGUCUGCGAAAGAGCCUUGAAGGAGACCGUCUCUGAUCUGAGUAGCCACAUCGCGAACAGCUCCUGGUCCGUGCGGAAUGAACACAGCAGAAGAUUUGGAACUUGCACCAAUCUCCUUCAUUGUGUCAAAGUAUUGUGUAACAAGCACCAUGUCCAUCACAUCUUUAGCAGUUGUCCCUGGGACGUUCACAGAGAAACCCAAGACACUGUCUCGUAGUCCAUCUACAAUCGC
rnacentral:lncRNA from 1 species